CUCUGUAAGAUGGAAUGCAACAGUUUUAACUCUCUGUAAGAUGGAAUGCAACAGUUUUAACUCUCUGUAAGAUGGAAUGCAACAGUUGUAACUCUCUGUAAGAUGGAAUGCAUCAGUUUUAACUCUCUGUAAGAUGGAAUGCAACAGUUGUAACUCUCUGUAAGAUGGAAUGCAACAGUUUUAACUCUCUGUAAGAUGGAAUGCAACAGUUUUAACGUUUUGAAAGAUGGAAUAAAACAGUUUGAACGCCAUGUAAGAUGGACCACAGCAAUGUUAGUACACAGUAAAAAAAAACUGUUAACGUUCGAUAACAUAGAAAAUAUGAGUUAUUGCUAGCAUAUUGGACAACUGGCAUGCAUGUCCAUGUCUGCUUGAAACGCGAAUAAAACUGUCAACUUCUGAUGAGAGAGAGUAUGUUUUGCUUAUAGCACUGAGGACAAUGUCAGUCUGAAAACGAGAAACAGAAGUUUGACCCUAUGUAACUCUGUACAGGAACAGCGUGCAUCUAGGAUGUUGACAGGAACGGAAGCAGAAACUUCAUAAUUUUACAUGUGAAUAGAAAGUGUAAAUGAUGUUUGCAGGAACGGAAGCAGAAACUUCAUAAUUUUACAUGUGAAUAGAAAGUGCAAAUGAUGUUUACAGGAGUGGAAGUAGACACUUCAUAAUUUUACAUGUGAAUAGAAAGUGCAAAUGAUGUUUACAGGAGUGGAAGUAGACACUUCAUAAUUUAACAUGUGAAUAGAAAGUGCAAAUGAUAUUUACAGGAGCGGAAGUAGACACUUCAUAAUUUUACAUGUGAAUAGAAAGUGUAAUUGAUGAUUGCAGGAAAGGACACUUCAUAAUUCUACAUGUGAACAAAAUUAUGUAAAUAAUGUUUACAGUAAAGGAUGGAGACACUCAUUAUUCUACAUGUAAACAAAAUUAUGUAAAUAAUGUUUACAGGAACGGAAGGAGAGACUCCUUAAUUCUGCAUUUGAAUAGGAAAUGUAAACAUGCUUUACAGGAACGGAAGUAGACACUUCAUAAUUCUGCAUGUGAACAGAACGUGUAAAUGAUGAUUACCGAAACUAAAGGUCAACACCACAUAACCCCACACAGGAGAAGCGUGUGUCAGUGAUGUUUACAUUAAGAUGGAGCGUUAGCGGUGUCCUUAUAGUGAGGAUUCCACUCUUAUGAUAAACAUGGUUAUAAUUUUACCAGCAUAUGAUGUAAUUACAAGUCGAGACCCAGUCCUGAUUGUGCUGUGUGUGAUAGAUUAGAUACAUGACAGUAUUUAAUGUCUGUACAUCAAUGACUAGGCCACGAAUAUGACACUCAUUAUGACACCCCCCGCAAAGGGCCUAUGCUACCAUACGUAGGUAUUCAUCAGCGGGAUGCAAGAAACGCGAUCAUUAUUGCUGACUUACCAAUUACAACUGUUCAUUGUGUGUAUCGUGUGAACAUUUAGCGAAGGGUGUAUGUGGGAUUUUCAAAGGUCACGAGAUCCAUUUAAGAAUAUGUACAUUGAUUUGGUUUCAUAUGUCACCGUUGGAUAUGUGCAGACACAGCUAGCGUGUGUUGUGUGGUGGUUCCUAUGCAGUUUGCCCCAUUAUCUGUUCGUGAGUGUCAUCAAAGUUGUAAAUGAAGAUCUCCUAUCGGAGACCAAUACCAUUUGUACUGUUCUUAUGGUGCUGUAAUGGCAUUGUCUCAAUGACAGACAUGCAUCACAUUAUUGUGUCUUGAACAGAGUUUAGCUUGGCGUUUUUCCACUCCUAUAAUUGUUUUAACUUACCUGUGUGUAGACAAUUGGCACGCAGCUCUUGAAGUCUGGUUCUGUUCUAAUCGACUUCUUGACUGUGUCAGUAGAUGUUUUCAAUAGACACAUGGUAACGUAAUUGUAACAAACUCCCAUGAACAGUCCAUUGGAACAGUCAACACGACAUCAUUUACCCUGAAAUGCGUGUAUAAUUCCUACAGAAUACGUAUUUCAAAUGACUUAGACUCAGAUCGGAUUUCAGAAGCGUUACUUAUAACUUCGGAAUAUCUAAAUGGGAAAGGUGACAUGUUAAUAAUCUACAAAUCUAACUAGGCGUAGUUGCUUAAAAGUUCUUCGUGUUGAAAACUACAUUUAAUAACUAUCACUUUCAGUUUUCUCCAGAUUAAUUUUCUAAAUAUCGUCUCGAACAUAGCAUCUCAUGCCUGUUAGACUGCAUAUGACAUCCAUCCGCCAGCGACUUUCAGCUUAAAGCAGCUGAACGCUGACACACAUUUCGGUCAUUCUACCAUAUUCUGUCACAACCAGGGGAUAACAACAGGUCAGCUUGUUGAAGUUUUCCAUAUUGUUGGAUUUAGAGUAUGGGUCGUAGUAGCCCAGGAUUAGCUGAAUUUUUAAUCUUUAAGCUGAAAGCUUACUUCCUUUAUCAAGUUGCAUCCCCCAGACAAAUAACGCGUUGACACGUACAAGUAUAAACUAAAAUGUCUAUGUUAAAUAAUAGAAGUUACCCCAUUCGUGCUUUUCGUUCAAAAGUUCGUGAUAUCUCUAUUGAUUCAUAUGUAUGAUAUGCUGACGUCCUGCAUUGAGAAUUGCAAUGAUCAGUUAUGCAAUUGGUGGAUAGUGUAAAUGUAUUUUGAACUGGCGUUCAAUCCACCAGAUAUGUUUUCCUUAAUUGGUGGAUAGUGUAAUUGCAUGCCGAAAUACAUCUGAAUAGGAAACUGGUGUACAAUCCACUAGAUUUGUUUUUCUUAAUAGCCCAUUAAUAAUUGCUAAAAGCCUAUUAAUUUAAGCUUUUCUCAACUCCAUGUUCAUUAGGACAACUCUGUAUGUCCACCUGUGUAGAUUUCCUCUCGUAUGUGGCUGUGAUGUACAGAAUGAUUACCGCACUCAUGCCUAUCAAAUACCAUUUAUCUAACAACGAGUUGUUUCAAAACGUAUCUAACGAGCGAAAGCGAAACACCGAGCGCUAAAACAACUGGCAUAUCACAGACACGAAUGCAGUAAUCUGUUUCUUACAGACUCUAAACUCAUAUAUUUCGUCGAUUCUCAUCAUCACAGUGGCGCAUUAUUAUAAAGUACAACAGACAUUUAUGACGCCAUCUGACUGCUUACUACUUAUAACUAAUGUGAUACUCCACACUAACGUCCAGUUAAUCUAUAUCAUAAAGUAGAUGAGACCACAGAAGAUGUAAUCGCAACAUAAAGCCAUACAUUUUCAACACAGACAAAAAGGUAUCAGUACAUUGCAUUCUGGAAAGUACUUCAUCAUUGCGCAACUACCCACGGACCAGGAUUGAUUCCCAAACACAUGUUUAAUACCAGUUAUCUCACAAUGGUUUCUCACCCGUAGGCGUGUAAACAAUGUUAUUCUGGAACUGCAUUUAAAUUACCGGCUCGAGUAUGACUUUGGCGCAGUAGUUCUGUGUAGUAUUAUGAUGUUUUAUUGCUCAUUGAGGAACAUUGUGAUAAUGUUUUGCCAUGUGUUCACGUCCAACCUUUUAGGGUCAAAUGGAUGUUUUCAAUUUUUCAUUGUUUGAAAGUUUGUUGCAGUAUCGAUAUUUUUUAAUGCAUUUUAUAAUACUCCUUGUGUAUAAUAGGGUCAUACUAUGCUAUUGUUUUAUCUCCCAAUUAGCCAUUUAUGACAUCUUUAUGUGAUACCAGUUUUGUUGAUUCGAGCAGGCACAUGAUGUAAUGGUUGUGAAUGUGACACAAUAAAUGUUUCUUUACCUAA